CAACACGCAGCAGCCCCUCAACUCCCUUAAGGCCAGGGAGUGGGGGCGAGGGAGGGAGGGCAUGAUGGAUAACGAAAGCUGCCACUCCACUAAGGCCGAGACACAUUCCUCCUUCCUUCCACCCAGCUCCCCACCACAGAGGCACACCGAGUCCCAAGACGGGUGUCUCCGAUUCGGCGUCUGUGGGAGGGAUGAGGGUGGCCAUUUUCUCUUGCCCCUCUAGCAGCCUGGCGGGGGCGGAGUGAGCCGCCCCUCCCCUUUUGAAACAAGGACAGCCAGGCGGGGGGGGGGGAGGAGAAGCAGCAGCAAGAGCGUCCCCGCCCCCGCUGCUUCCUCACUCACUCACCUCGGCAGCGCGUGUCCAUCUCGCGCAGGAGCGAGGCCAGCCUCUGCAUGUCCAGCGGCAACGACUCAACGCACUCCAGGCAAUCCGCUGUCAGGAGAGACGAAAGUGAAGCGCUAGUUACCGGCCUCGACCGAACACUUCUGUACGACUACGCGUGCACCUCCCUUUUGCCUUCUUAUACCUGUAACUUACAGGCACGCGCGUAUGAAAGAGGAAAGGGAAACGAAGGAAACAAAAAAGAGGGAGGAGAAGCGGAAAGUGAAAAAGGAAUGUUCUGAAUGAAGGAGUCUUUGCUUAAACGUGCUCACUUAGAAUAAGGUCUUAUUUGAAAUUAAUGAGAGGUGCAGGAAUUUCUUCAAAAUUAAAAACCACUUUCUUCAAUGGGAGUUGCCCCUGCACACUGCAGGAUUGCAGCCUUUAGCUAUUUUACUAUCGGUUGAUAUACUGGCGACUGCGACGCAAUAUGCAUAAUGGAUCUACACCAGAUUCUUCUCUCCAGACCUUUUUAUUGCAUAGAUUAAAAGAAAAUUAAAAUCUACAAAUAAAAAACAGACGUUUCCACGUACAGACGUCAA